rnacentral:rRNA from 1 species
CCUUUAGCGACACAAGUAUUAAAGGUCAUGCCUGCCCAGUGAAGCAUUUUUAACGGCCGCGGUAUUCUAACCGUGCAAAGGUAGCGUAAUCAUUUGUCUUCUAAAUAAAGACCAGUAUGAAUGGUUAAAUGAGGACGAACCUGUCUCCUACAGCUCAUCAGUGAAACUGAUCUCCCAGUCCAAAAGCUGGAAUAUUAACAUAAGACGAGAAGACCCUGUGGAGCUUAAAAUUAAGUUAUUAACAAUAAACAACUAGUACAAAAUUUUAAGUUGGGGCGACUUCGGAACAAAAUAAAACUUCCAAGCACAGAACCACUAUUUCUAACCAAGGCCCACAAGCCAAAGAUAAAAGUUGACCCAGUCAUACUGACCAACGAACCAAGUUACCCCAGGGAUAACAGCGCUAUCUUCUUCGAGAGUCCAUAUCGACAAGAAGGUUUACGACCUCGAUGUUGGAUCAGGGCACCCCAAUGGUGCAACCGCUAUUAAAGGUUCGUUUGUUC